GACGAACGCUGGCGGCGUGCUUAACACAUGCAAGUCGAACGGAAAGGCCUUUUCGGAGGUACUCGAGUGGCGAACGGGUGAGUAACACGUGGGUGAUCUGCCCUGCACUCUGGGAUAAGCCUGAGAAACUGGGUCUAAUACCGGAUAGGACCGCACUUUAGUGUGUGUGGUGGAAAGUUUUUUCGGUGUAGGAUGAGCCCGCGGCCUAUCAGCUUGUUGGUGGGGUAAUGGCCUACCAAGGCGGCGACGGGUAGCCGGACUGAGAGGUUGGUCGGCCACAUUGGGACUGAGAUACGGCCCAGACUCCUACGGGAGGCAGCAGUGGGGAAUAUUGCACAAUGGGCGCAAGCCUGAUGCAGCGACGCCGCGUGGGGGAUGACGGCCUUCGGGUUGUAAACUCCUUUCGCCAGGGACGAAGCGUUUUGUGACGGUACCUGGAGAAGAAGCACCGGCUAACUACGUG
rnacentral:rRNA from 1 species